AUGACAAUCACCACCAUACUCCUUGCUUACCCACUCACAGGUGCACACUACUCCUGCCCACUCACAGGUGCACACUACUCCUGCCCACUCACAGGUGCACACUACACCUGCCCACUCACAGGUGCACACUACACCUGCCCACUCACAGGUGCACACUACUCCUGCCCACUCACAGGUGCACACUACACCUGCCCACUCACAGGUGCACACUACUCCUGCCCACUCACAGGUGCACACUACUCCUGCCCACUCACAGGUGCACACUACACCUGCCCACUCACAGGUGCACACUACACCUGCCCACUCACAGGUGCACACUACACCUGCCCACUCCCAGGUGCACACUACUCCUGCCCAUUCACAGGUGUUCAUUAAUGCAUUCUGUUCUUGAUUCCAUUAUCUUU